GUUCCGUGUUUGGUUAUUUUCUGCCUUACACAAUAUGAGUAAGCCCCCGAAUAGCACCUCCAGGUGAGAUGCACACACAGUCUGUUAUAGGAAGUAAAAAAGGUAUAAAAAACCCUCCUUGGGAAGAUCAGGUAAAGAACCGUUGUGCACUGGAACAGAAUAUAAUCAAACUACAGGUAAACAUCGUAGAUAUGGAUCUCCAGU